CAGUCGCCGCGGUAAUACGUAGGUGGCAAGCGUUGUCCGGAAUUAUUGGGCGUAAAGGGCUCGCAGGCGGUUUCUUAAGUCUAAUGUGAAAGCCCCCGGCUCAACCGGGGAGGGUCAUUGGAAACUGGGAAACUUGAGUGCAGUAGAGGAGAGUGGAAUUCCACGUGUAGCGGUGAAAUGCGUAGAGAUGUGGAGGAACACCAGUGGCGAAGGCGACUCUCUGGUCUGUAACUGACGCUGAGGAGCGAAAGCGUGGGGAGCGAACAGGAUUAGAUACCCCAGUAGUCCCUGUCUCUUAUAC
rnacentral:rRNA from 1 species